CAGAUCCCUAUGGGAUGCAGCAGUCGAGAAUUUUUCACAAUGGGCGCAAGCCUGAUGGAGCGACGCCGCGUGGGGGAUGAAUGGCUUCGGCCCGUAAACCCCUGUCAUUUGCGAUCAAACCUUAACCUAACAUCGUGAGCUGAUAGUAGCGGAAGAGGAAGGGACGGCUAACUCUGUGCCAGCAGCCGCGGUAAUACAGAGGUCUCAAGCGUUGUUCGGAAUCACUGGGCGUAAAGCGUGCGUAGGCUGUUUCGUAAGUCGUGUGUGAAAGGCGCGGGCUCAACCCGCGGACGGCACAUGAUACUGCGAGACUAGAGUAAUGGAGGGGGAACCGGAAUUCUCGGUGUAGCAGUGAAAUGCGUAGAUAUCGAGAGGAACACUCGUGGCGAAGGCGGGUUCCUGGACAUUAACUGACGCUGAGGCACGAAGGCCAGGGGAGCGAAAGGGAUUAGAUACCCCUGUAGUCCUGGCAGUAAACGGUGCACGCUUGGUGUGCGGGGAAUCGACCCCCUGCGUGCCGGAGCUAACGCGUUAAGCGUGCCGCCUGGGGAGUACGGUCGCAAGAUUAAAACUUAAAGGAAUUGACGGG
rnacentral:rRNA from 1 species